UAUUUUUCUGCUUGUCAGCUCCAAGUCUCCCCUGUUGCUGUCAUGUUGUCCUGAAUUGCAUUAUAAACAACCCAGAGCAUCACUAGGAGAGUGUCAGUCACAACACAGAUCAUAGUCUAAAGCAAAUGCUCUAUUUAAUCAAUCUCUUCCUCCAUACUGGCAAACAAUGUUUUGUAAUCAAUUUUUUGCAAACUGUUGUUGCAUAUAUUGGAGGUGAUUUUGUGAACUGUAACUGUUCUGCACACAGGCCAACAUACAACUACAAGACCGACCCUGCAGACACCACCACAUCUUUGACAAAGUUGACAAACAUGUUGCUCAGUGGCAGUCAGUCCUGUCUCUCGGACAGUCUUAAGUGAUGUGGAGAUGCUCAGCCAUCACUACUGAGGCCUUCAACAGUGUAAUCCUGUCAUUCUGCAUAAAAGCAUGGUAGGUGCAACUACUGACAAUAUUCAAAGAAACAGAGAACAUGACCAUGUUCAAAUAAAACAGGAAAAAUACUUUUAGUGCUCAAAAUAAUUCACAUGCCUACACUAAAAUAAACAUACUAAUAAAUGUUUC
rnacentral:lncRNA from 1 species